CAAGAUAUAGCUUAAACAAAGCAUCCAGUUUACACCUAGAAGACUU
rnacentral:tRNA from 1 species